rnacentral:rRNA from 1 species
GAUGAACGCUGGCGGCGUGCCUAAUACAUGCAAGUCGAGCGAACAGACGAGGAGCUUGCUCCUCUGACGUUAGCGGCGGACGGGUGAGUAACACGUGGAUAACCUACCUAUAAGACUGGGAUAACUUCGGGAAACCGGAGCUAAUACCGGAUAAUAUAUUGAACCGCAUGGUUCAAUAGUGAAAGACGGUUUUGCUGUCACUUAUAGAUGGAUCCGCGCCGCAUUAGCUAGUUGGUAAGGUAACGGCUUACCAAGGCGACGAUGCGUAGCCGACCUGAGAGGGUGCUCGCCCACCCGGACACUGCAACGCGUCCCACCCUCCUGGGGGGGGCAGGAGGGGGGAAUCUUCCGCAGGGGGCGAGACCCUGCCGGAGCACCGCCGCGUGGGUAAAAAGGGUCUUGGGUCCGAAAAACUUUUUUUUGGGGGAAAAACAAAUGUGUAAUUAACUUUCCCCUUUUUGGCGGCCCCUAACCAAAAACCCCCGGCAACCUCCG